rnacentral:rRNA from 1 species
GAUGAACGCUGGCGGCGUGCCUAAUACAUGCAAGUCGAGCGAACAGAUAAGGAGCUUGCUCCUUUGAAGUUAGCGGCGGACGGGUGAGUAACACGUGGGUAACCUACCUAUAAGACUGGGAUAACUUCGGGAAACCGGAGCUAAUACCGGAUAACAUUUAGAACCGCAUGGUUCUAAAGUGAAAGCUGGUUUUGCUAUCACUAAUAGAUGGACCCGCGCCGUAUUAGCUAGUUGGUAAGGUAACGGCUUACCAAGGCGACGAUACGUAGCCGACCUGAGAGGGUGAUCGGCCACACUGGAACUGAGACACGGUCCAGACUCCUACGGGAGGCAGCAGUAGGGAAUCUUCCGCAAUGGGCGAAAGCCUGACGGAGCAACGCCGCGUGAGUGAUGAAGGGUUUCGGCUCGUAAAACUCUGUUAUUAGGGAAGAACAAAUGUGUAAGUAACUGUGCACAUCUUGACGGUACCUAAUCAGAAAGCCACGGCUAACUACGUGCCAGCCGCCGCCGUAA